UACGUAGGUGGCAAGCGUUGUCCGGAAUUACUGGGUGUAAAGGGAGCGCAGGCGGGAAGCCAAGUCAGCUGUGAAAACUACGGGCUUAACUUGUAGACUGCAGUUGAAACUGGUUUUCUUGAGUGAAGUAGAGGUUGGCGGAAUUCCGAGUGUAGCGGUGAAAUGCGUAGAUAUUCGGAGGAACACCGGUGGCGAAGGCGGCCAACUGGGCUUUAACUGACGCUGAGGAUCGAAAGUGUGGGGAGCAAACAGG
rnacentral:rRNA from 1 species